AACGCUGGCGGCGUGCCCAACACAUGCAAGUCGAGCGGCAGCGAGUUUUUACACUGAAUUUCUGGAAGCUUCUAGUUGAAAGAGAAAGAAUUUAUUCAAGAAUUUUGUGUAAAAUGUCGGCGAGCGGCGGACGGCUGAGUAACGCGUGGGAACGUACCCCAAAGUGAGGGAUAACGCAUCGAAAGGUGUGCUAAUACCGCAUAUGGUCUUCGGAUUAAAGCCUUCGGGCGCUUUGGGAACGGCCUGCGUAAGAUUAGAUAGUUGGUGGGGUAAUGGCCUACCAAGUCGACGAUCUUUAACUGGUUUGAGAGGAUGAUCAGUCAGACUGGAACUGAGACACGGUCCAGACUCCUACGGGAGGCAGCAGUGAGGAAUCUUCCACAAUGGGCGAAAGCCUGAUGGAGCAACGCCGCGUGCAGGAUGAAGGCCUUCGGGUUGUAAACUGCUUUUAUAAGUGAUGAUUAUGACAGUAACUUAUGAAUAAGGAUCGGCUAACUACGUGCCAGCAGCCGCGGUCAUACGUAGGAUCCGAGCGUUAUCCGGAGUGACUGGGCGUAAAGAGUUGCGUAGGUGGUUUAAUAAGCGAAUAGUGAAAUCUGGUGGCUCAACCAUUCAGACUAUUAUUCGAACUGUUGAACUCGAGAGCAGAAGAGGUAGCUGGAAUUUCUAGUGUAGGAGUGAAAUCCGUAGAUAUUAGAAGGAACACCGAUGGCGUAGGCAGGCUACUGGGCUGUUUCUGACACUGAGGCACGAAAGCGUGGGGAGCGAACCGGAUUAGAUACCCGGGUAGUUCACGCCGUAAACGAUGGAUACUAGCUGUUUGGGGUAUCGACCCCCUGAGUAGCGAAGCUAACGCGUUAAGCAUCCCGCCUGUGGAGUACGAUCGCAAGAUUAAAACAUAAAGGAAUUGACGGGGACCCGCACAAGCGGUGGAUCAUGUUCUUUAAUUCGAUGAUAACCGAUAAACCUUACCAGGUCUUGACAUCCUUGGAAUCUUUCAGAAAUGAGAGAGUGCUUUUUAAGAGCCAAGUGACAGGUGAUGCAUGGCCGUCGUCAGCUCGUGUCAUGAGAUGUUUGGUUAAGUCCAUCAACGAGCGCAACCCUUGUCAGUAGUUGUAUUUUUCUACUGAGACUGCCCCGGUAACGGGGAGGAAGGAGGGGAUGACGUCAGGUCAGUAUUUCCCUUACGUCCUGGGCUAGAAACGUGAUACAAUGGCUAGUACAAUGCGCAGCGAAGCCGCGAGGUGAAGCAAAUCGCAUCAAAGCUAGUCCCAGUUCGGAUUGUAGGCUGAAACUCGCCUGCAUGAAGUCGGAAUCGCUAGUAAUCGCAGAUCAGCAUGCUGCGGUGAAUACGUUCCCGGGUCUUGUACACACCGCCCGUC
rnacentral:rRNA from 1 species